ACGUAGGGGGCAAGCGUUAUCCGGAAUUAUUGGGCGUAAAGAGUGCGUAGGUGGUUUUUUAAGCGUGAGGUGAAAGGCAAUAGCUUAACUAUUGUAAGCCUUGCGAACUGGAAGACUUGAGUGCAGGAGAGGAAAGUGGAAUUCCUAGUGUAGGAGUGAAAUGCGUGUAUAUUAGGGGGAACACCUGUGGCGAAGGCGUCUAACUGUACUGGAUCCGACAGUGAGGCAUGUAAGCAUGUGGAGCAAACAG
rnacentral:rRNA from 1 species